rnacentral:rRNA from 1 species
UGGUGCCUUCGGGAACUCUGAGACAGGUGCUGCAUGGCUGUCGUCAGCUCGUGUUGUGAAAUGUUGGGUUAAGUCCCGCAACGAGCGCAACCCUUAUCCUUGUUUGCCAGCGAGUAAUGUCGGGAACUCCAGGGAGACUGCCGGUGAUAAACCGGAGGAAGGUGGGGACGACGUCAAGUCAUCAUGGCCCUUACGAGUAGGGCUACACACGUGCUACAAUGGCGCAUACAGAGGGCRGCCAACUUGCGAAAGUGAGCGAAUCCCAAAAAGUGCGUCGUAGUCCGGAUUGGAGUCUGCAACUCGACUCCAUGAAGUCGGAAUCGCUAGUAAUCGUGGAUCAGAAUGCCACGGUGAAUACGUUCCCGGGCCUUGUACACACCGCCCGUCACACCAUGGGAGUGGGCUGCAAAAGAAGUAGGUAGUUUAACCUUCGGGRGGACGCUUACCACUUUGUGGUUCAUGACUGGGGUGAAGUCGUAACAAGGUAGCGCUAGGGGAACCUGGCGCUGGAUCACCUCCUUAWACGAUGAU